GAUGAAGAACGCAGCGUAAUGCGAUAAGUAAUGUGAAUUGCAGAAUUCAGUGAAUCAUCGAAUCUUUGAACGCACAUUGCGCCCGCCAGUAUUCUGGCGGGCAUGCCUGUUCGAGCGUCAUUUCAACCAUCAAGCCCCCGGCUUGUGUUGGGGACCUGCGGCUGCCGCAGGCCCUGAAAACCAGUGGCGGGCUCGCUGUCACACCGAGCGUAGUAGAUUUUCAUCUCGCUCAGGGCGUGCUGCGGGUUCCGGCCGUAAAAAGCCUUAUUUACCCAAGGUUGACCUCGGAUCAGGUAGGAAGACCCGCUGAACUUAAGCAUAUCAAUAAGCGGAGGA
rnacentral:misc_RNA from 1 species